rnacentral:lncRNA from 1 species
AGGCAAAGGCCCUGAAAAAGUCCAAUAUGGAGGCCAAGUGGCCAAAAUAUUGGGAGAUUUUGGAACAAGAAGGAGAUAAACUUAAAUUGCAGAGCUUUGAAAAACUAAAAGAUAGAGUGCGAGACUGGUUGCAUUAUUACCAAAUAAGAGAGGUUUAUAAUUUGGAUAGAAAAAUUGGCUUCCAGGUGGAAAAAUCAAAGUUGGAAACAGAACUGUUAGAUUCCAAAACUAAAACACUUUCAAGAAUGUAUAACUUGCUGCUAAAAUGGAAUACUCAGGAUGAAAUGGUAAAAUCUGCUAUGAUUAAAUGGGCACAGGAUGUUGGACAUAACAUUAUGUUUGCUGACUGGGAACGGUUAUGGACCACGGGUAUGAAGUUUACGGCAUGUAAUGCCUUAAGAGAGAAUAUUAUGAAAAUGAUAUACAGGUGGUACAUGACCCCAGUCAAGCUUGCAAAAAUCUAUCAUUUGCCCGAUAAUAAAUGUUGGAAAUGUAAAGAAACUGAAGGUACAUUCUUUCACCUUUGGUGGACGUGCCCAAAGAUUAAGGCUUUCUGGGAAAGGAUAUAUAAUGAGUUGAAAAAGGUAUUUAAGUAUACCUUCUUAAAGAAACCAGAGGCCUUUCUCCUGGGCAUUGUUGGCCAAUUGGUGCCAAAGAAGGAUAGAACUUUCUUUAUGUAUGCAACAGCAGCAGCAAGGAUACUUAUCGCAAAGUAUUGGAAGACACAAGACUUACCCACUCUGGAAGAAUGGCAGAUGAAGGUAAUCGAAUAUAUGGAAUUGGCGGAAAUGACUGGCAGAAUCCGGGACCAGGGAGAAGAGUCGGUGGAAGAAGAUUGGAAGAAAUUUAAAGACUAUCUACAGAAAUACUAUAAAAUUAAUGAAUGUUAAAUUGAGGUCUGAUUGAAAAUAACUGGUAUUGGCAAAAGCCUCGCGUUUAAGAGUAUGGAAUAUUUGUUUGAUAAGGUUGUAAAAAUACCUAUAUAUAAAUAGAUUAAGCUUCUUGAGUUAAGAUAAAGGAAGGAGGGUAAGGAUUUGCUGAAAGGAGUUUCUAAAAGGAAAUACAAGUGGGGAGGUGCGGGGAAGUCAAAGAACCAAGGAAAGAUUAGAAGGUUAAAUGAAAUUAUAAAUUUUUAAAUUUUUCUGUUUUAUUGUUAUUUUUUGUUUUCCUUUUGUUACUGUUAUUGUUGUUUUUUGUUUUUGAAAACCUGUAUUUUUUGUAUGUUUUGGAAUUUUUGUAAAACCAAUAAAUAUUAUAUU